rnacentral:rRNA from 1 species
UGACCGCUGGCGGCAGGCCUACCACAUGCACGUCGAGCGGCUGAAGGGAGCUUGCUCCUGGAUUCAGCGGCGGACGGGUGAGUAAUGCCUAGGAAUCUGCCUGGUAGUGGGGGAUAACGUCCGGAAACGGGCGCUAAUACCGCAUACGUCCUGAGGGAGAAAGUGGGGGAUCUUCGGACCUCACGCUAUCAGAUGAGCCUAGGUCGGAUUAGCUAGUUGGUGGGGUAAAGGCCUACCAAGGCGACGAUCCGUAACUGGUCUGAGAGGAUGAUCAGUCACACUGGAACUGAGACACGGUCCAGACUCCUACGGGAGGCAGCAGUGGGGAAUAUUGGACAAUGGGCGAAAGCCUGAUCCAGCCAUGCCGCGUGUGUGAAGAAGGUCUUCGGAUUGUAAAGCACUUUAAGUUGGGAGGAAGGGCAGUAAGUUAAUACCUUGCUGUUUUGACGUUACCAACAGAAUAAGCACCGGCUAACUUCGUG